UGUAUUUUUUUUGCCUUUACCGAUGACUGACUUCCUUUUUGUCAGACUUUAGACUGUUGUACGGUCACAUUGGAUUUGAAAGAAACAUCCUUUCUUCCAUACAUCCACGCUGCCUGAAAGACGACAGCUUCCUGAAUCCAACGAUACCAGAUAUGUGCACAUCGGACCUCCGCUUCAAAAGAUACGGCCAGACUGUUGUACGGUCACAUUGGAUUUGAAAGCAACAUCCUUUUCUUCCAUACAUCCACGCUACCUGAAAGACGACAGCUUCCUGAAUCCAACGAUACCAGUUAUGUGAACAUCUGACCUCCGCUUCAAAAGAUACGGCCAGACUGUUGUAAGGUCACAUUGGAUUUGAAAGCAACAUCCUUUCUUCCAUACAUCCGCGCUACCUGAAAGACGACAGCUUCCUGAAUCCAACGAUACCAGUUAUGUGCACAUCGGACCUCCGCUUCAAAAGAUAUGGCCAGCACAGAUACCAUCAAGCUAGCGGCUAACUCAGGAAGCAGCAAGUUUAAAAUUUGCACCCUUGGUGAGCGGAGCGAGACUUUAGACUGUUGUACGGUCACAUUGGAUUUGAAAGAAACAUCCUUUCUUCCAUACAUCCACGCUGCCUGAAAGACGACAGCUUCCUGAAUCCAACGAUACCAGAUAUGUGCACAUCGGACCUCCACUUCAAAAGAUACGGCCAGACUGUUGUAUGGUCACAUUGGAUUUGAAAGCAACAUCCUUUCUUCCAUACAUCCACGCUACCUGAAAGACGACAGCUUCCUGAAUCCAACGAUACCAGUUAUGUGAACAUCGGACCUCCGCUUCAAAAGAUACGGCCAGACUGUUGUAAGGUCACAUUGGAUUUGAAAGCAACAUCCUUUCUUCCAUACAUCCAAGCUACCUGAAAGACGACAGCUUCCUGAAUCCAACGAUACCAGUUAUGUGCACAUCGGACCUCCGCUUCAAAAGAUAUGGCCAGCACAGAUACCAUCAAGCUAGCGGCUAACUCAGGAAGCAGCAAGUUUAAAGUUUGCACCCUUGGUGAGCGGAGCGAGACUUUAGACUGUUGUACGGUCACAUUGGAUUUGAAA